rnacentral:lncRNA from 1 species
AGCUCACAUAAUAAGUCCCAUUCAUCAACAUAAAUCAUAGGUUCAGUCCAACAAAAUAAAAGUCUAGCAACAUAAAAAUAUCGCCAUCUAGUGAAGUGUUUCAAGUUCAACAAAAUAAAAGUCUAACAACAUAAAAAUAUCGCCAUCUAGUGCCCGUUCUUGGAGUCCAAUCCACAAAUAGUUCUUCAUAUCAGGACAUACUCAUCCUGAAAAUUUCAAGAUGAAAAUAUAAGAACAUAUCAGGCUGAAAUCAAGUGAAUCCAAUUAGGAAAAGGCAUAAGUUUUAUAAUUUGUAGACUCAAUAUAAUCUUAUCUCAAUAAUGGAUCAAUUUGCUCAAACUAACCAUCAACGUCAAUAGUGGAGAUCGAGGAGGAUUCCGUUUGAGGUUCAUCAUCGCCAUGUAGAAAGUUUUCGGCUAACUCACAUGUUGGUACUUCGCUUUUGAAGGCUUUGAAGAAAAAAAAAUUAGAAUUGGUAUAUAUAUCAAUAAUUUAAAAUGUCAACAUUANUUAUAACCUGAAUUUGACCUGAUUAAACACGAACACAGUAAUUACACGAAUUUGACCUGAUUAAAACAACACAAUAAUAAUACAAUAAUAUGUGAAUUACAUAUCAAAUUAACCACUGAACAGAUUCAUGGUUUGAAAAAACAAUGAAAUUUAAAAGCUCACAUAAUAAGUCCCAUUCAUCAACAUAAAUCAUAGGUUGAGUCCAACAAAAUAAAAGUCUAGCAACAUAAAAAUAUCGCCAUCUAGUGAAGUGUUUCAAGUUCAACAAAAUAAAAGUCUAACAACAUAAAAAUAUCGCCAUCUAGUGCCCGUUCUUGGAGUCCAAUCCACAAAUAGUU